CAGUGUUCUAAAUAUGUCAAUUGGGUCAGGCUUGUUACAAGCAUUGUUCAGAUUUUCUAUAUCCUUGCUGAUUUUUGUCUGCUUGUUCUCUCAAUUUCUGAGUGAGAUGCUGAGAUGCCCCACCCUCCAUUUGGGAGAAGUUAAUGUUGGGCUGCUGCUAAUAGCAGUAGACCCCAGACCAGUCGGACCUGAAGGUUGAUGAUGCUGACUCCUACUUACCUCAACACCAGCCCAUCAGAAUAAAGUCCAUGAGCUGGUCUCUUUGAAGUUACUACAAAACUUUUCAUUAUCUUCUCCAAGGAAGGACAUACAGUUUCAAGGACAUUAGCCCAAUGUGGUCCCCUUUGCCCAGGAGGAAAGUAAUAAAGCUAUCAUUUUCUACUUCACCC
ensembl:lncRNA